rnacentral:rRNA from 1 species
UGCCGACCGAUAGCGAACCAGUACCGUGAGGGAAAGGUGAAAAGCACCCCGAUUAGGGGAGUGAAACAGUACCUGAAACCGGAUGCUUACAAGCAGUUGGAGCCUCUUUAGGGGGUGACAGCGUACCUCUUGCAUAAUGGGUCAGUGACUUAAUCUAGCAUGCGAGCUUAAGCCGUUAGGUGUAGGCGAAGCGAAAGCGAGUCUGAAUAGGGCGACUGAGUAUGUUGGAUUAGACCCGAACCCCGGCGAUCUAGGCAUGAGCAGGUUGAAGGUGCGGUAACACGCACUGGAGGACCGAACCGUUGCAUGUUGAAAAAUGCUCGGAUGACUUGUGUUUAGGGGUGAAAGGCCAAUCAAGCCGGGAAAUAGCUGGUUCUCCGCGAAAUCUAUUGAGGUAGAGCGUCAGAUGUAUGCCGAUGGGGGUAGAGCACUGGAUGGGCUAGGGCUGCGCGAGCGGUACCAAACCUAACCAAACUCCGAAUACCAUCGAGUCUUGUCUGGCAGACAGACGGCGGGUGCUAAGGUCCGUCGUCAAAAGGGAAACAGCCCUAACCUACAGCUAAGGUCCCCAAGUAAUACCUAAGUGCGAAAGCAUGUGGGAAUCCCAAAACAACCAGGAGGUUGGCUUAGAAGCAGCCACCCUUUAAAGAAAGCGUAAUAGCU